AAGCGGCGGACGGGUGAGUAACGCGUGGGUAACCUACCCUGUACACACGGAUAACAUACCGAAAGGUAUGCUAAUACGGGAUAAUAUAUUUGAGAGGCAUCUCUUAAAUACCAAAGGUGAGCCAGUACAGGAUGGACCCGCGUCUGAUUAGCUAGUUGGUAAGGUAACGGCUUACCAAGGCGACGAUCAGUAGCCGACCUGAGAGGGUGAUCGGCCACAUUGGGACUGAGACACGGCCCAA
rnacentral:rRNA from 1 species